rnacentral:rRNA from 8 species
CACCGAAGCUGCGGCAGCGAACGUAUCACUUAAAGCGAUUCAGCGGGUUACGAUUGACGGAGCGAAGCGACGUCAAAGCGUAUACAAAGUCGAGUCGGUUUAAGGAUACGUUCGUUGGGUAGGGGAGCGUUCUGUAAGCCUGUGAAGGUGGCCUGUGAGGGUUGCUGGAGGUAUCAGAAGUGCGAAUGCUGACAUAAGUAACGAUAAAGCGGGUGAAAAGCCCGCUCGCCGGAAGACCAAGGGUUCCUGUCCAACGUUAAUCGGGGCAGGGUGAGUCGACCCCUAAGGCGAGGCCGAAAGGCGUAGUCGAUGGGAAACGGGUUAAUAUUCCCGUACUUGGUGUUACUGCGAA